rnacentral:rRNA from 1 species
UACGUAGGGUGCAAGCGUUGUCCGGAAUUAUUGGGCGUAAAGAGCUCGUAGGCGGCUUGUCACGUCGGGUGUGAAAGCCCGGGGCUUAACCCCGGGUCUGCAUUCGAUACGGGCAGGCUAGAGUGUGGUAGGGGAGAUCGGAAUUCCUGGUGUAGCGGUGAAAUGCGCAGAUAUCAGGAGGAACACCGAUGGCGAAGGCAGGUCUCUGGGCCACUACUGACGCUGAGAAGCGAAAGCGUGGGGAGCGAACAGG